rnacentral:rRNA from 1 species
AUGAACGCUGGCGGCGUGCCUAAUACAUGCAAGUCGAGCGAACGGACGAGAAGCUUGCUUCUCUGAUGUUAGCGGCGGACGGGUGAGUAACACGUGGAUAACCUACCUAUAAGACUGGGAUAACUUCGGGAAACCGGAGCUAAUACCGGAUAAUAUUUUGAACCGCAUGGUUCAAAAGUGAAAGACGGUCUUGCUGUCACUUAUAGAUGGAUCCGCGCUGCAUUAGCUAGUUGGUAAGGUAACGGCUUACCAAGGCAACGAUGCGUAGCCGACCUGAGAGGGUGAUCGGCCACACUGGAACUGAGACACGGUCCAGACUCCUACGGGAGGCAGCAGUAGGGAAUCUUCCGCAAUGGGCGAAAGCCUGACGGAGCAACGCCGCGUGAGUGAUGAAGGUCUUCGGAUCGUAAAACUCUGUUAUUAGGGAAGAACAUAUGUGUAAGUAACUGUGCACAUCUUGACGGUACCUAAUCAGAAAGCCACGGCUAACUACGUG